rnacentral:rRNA from 1 species
UACGAAGGGGGCUAGCGUUGCUCGGAAUCACUGGGCGUAAAGCGCACGUAGGCGGGUUGUUAAGUCGGGGGUGAAAUCCUGGAGCUCAACUCCAGAACUGCCUUCGAUACUGGCGACCUUGAGUCCGGGAGAGGUGAGUGGAACUCCUAGUGUAGAGGUGGAAUUCGUAGAUAUUAGGAAGAACACCAGUGGCGAAGGCGGCUUACUGGUCCGGUACUGACGCUGAGGUGCGAAAGCGUGGGGAGCAAACAGG